rnacentral:misc_RNA from 1 species
CACUCACGGAACCUUGUAACCCACACUGCGAAAUCAAAAACGACGACAAGCAGCAGUGACAUUAUCUGAGCACUCCCCGCCGGGUGUAUUCUCUUCGCUGGGCGCGUUUUCCCUUGUACUCGCAUCCUUUUUCCAUCAUUCUUCGCCGCUUCCAAGGACCCCACACCCGUCCAUAACUGGUGACCUCCUUCUGUAUCUCUUUGCACGUGGCUAUUACCUCUGGCGGUGACGGUGCGAAUGCGAGCGGGUCCUCGUCCUUCUUGAUUUUGUUUACUCGCCCUCGACAUCAUUUUGACCUACACGACCUCAUCGCUUCGCUCCGCUCGCGCUGCUGUGUCUCGAGAGUCUCUCGGUGAGUCUUCACUUUAAUUUUGUGUGCGUGCGUGUGCGGUUUCGUCUUCGCAGCACGCUUGGCUUGCCGGCUCUCCCUCCUUCCUUUCCGCAUACUCUGAUCCUCCACACACGCGCACGCAACUUCCACGCACACAGUGAGCACGUCUUAUAGGCUUGGGGUAUUUUGUUGACACGCCAGCCACUGCCUAUUGUGCCGGCCUAACUCAACGGAGUGGCACCAGCGUUCAACACGGGGCGACCGCGUAGGGCGCUAGAGCUACGGGAUCUUCUUCGGCAUUUCAAAAGGAGCUACAGUCGUGGCCCACCGCAGGAAGGCGUCUUUCUCUUCGAGUUCCGUUUUUGGGUCAUCCCUUUUUCGUUGUCUGUUCUCUUCGUUGUGGUUUGCGGCUACUCGUUCGCGAUCUCUUAGACGCUGCCUCUUGGCCCCUUCCCUCCCUCCCCCUCCGUGCUGGCUCGAACGCGAAUACGCAAGAAGGGAAAAGGGCACAUCAGACAGUGGAGGCGCCCCACCCCGCCCGCUUUCGUUGUUCUUCUUCCGCUCUUGUUCAUUGUCCUCCCCCUCCCCCUCUGCAUUGCCGCCUUAGAAAACAAAAGCACCCCCGCCCUUGUCCCAUCCCGCUUGCCAGCGCCUUCGACUGCCCACUUCCUUGCCUGGCCGCUCCUCCACACACACACACACACACGCGUGAGCGGUCUAGGAAAGAGAGACGCACCGGCAACGAACACAAGUACACGAAAGCACGCACAGAGAGGACGGCGGCGGUGGUUCAGUUUUGUUGAAGGAAAUUUCUGUGUGCUGUGUUGGGGUGGCUUGCUGGCUUGCUCCCCUCCCCUGUUCUCGCGCGCGCGUGUCCUUUUCUGUGUCCGUGCCCGUCCUUUUCCCGAAGAAGAGCGUCCUGUGUUCUCGUCCCUCUCAUUGUUUACAUCAGGUGCCGACCCUCGCAUACGCGAUUUUUUUUCUAGGUUCCUGCCCCUUAACCUUCUCGCGAAGAUGCCGUCACCCGCGCCCUUUACGAUGGCGAUGGAGUUUGCGCCGGAUGAGAGUCGCACUUCCUUCCCAGGCAGCCUCACCAUCACCAAGACAACGUUGACGGUGUUCAAGGCAAAAAGAAGCGCUGCCACCGCAGUGCGCGACCCCGCGACGAAUGAUUGCUUCUUCUUUGUUGGCGUGUGCAGCACACCGCUCAUCCAGUUUUAUCGCCACAAGAACGUCAUCACGCUCAUGCGCGGCACCAGCUUUCUCUUCGAUAAUGCCGCCGUCUCGAUCGACCUCCAGCUCGGCUCGGACGGCAGCAACCACAGAGCCUCGUCCAUUCACAGCAGCAACCGCUCCCGCCGCGAUAACCCAACGAUGUGGGAGACACUAGCGAUGCGCUUCGCCUCGCUGGAGGAUUGCGACCGCACUGUGGAGGUGCUGCUGGCCCACAGCGCUGAGGAGGUGUUUGUGCCACCGUUUCCGAUUCGCUCGCAGGGCCAUGCGUCGUGCAACACGUUAACUACUACGAGUCUGAACAGAUACAGCAGCCACAGUUCGCCGAUCUUAAACAGCCGCCGUUCAGCGUCGAGUCCCAUCAGUGAACGCCCUGAGCGCAGAGACAGUACGCACCGCUCCAGCACUCGAGGCAGCACUCCACAGACGGAAGUAUCGACCCCGCGCAGCUCCCGCCUACCCUGCCGCCGCGAGAGCGACGAUUCGGCAACGCGCUCGUCGGUGCGUACUGGCGAGCUCACGCCGCGCAGCUCCCGCUUGCCAUCUCGCCGCGAGAACGACGACAUGGCUUCUCUGUCGACGCCAUCGCAGUCGAUCCGCUCCUUGCAACAGCGCGUGGCGCCUGGCCGCUCCACUGCCGCCCGAACGCCGAGCCAGCCCGACUCUGAGAAGCUGCAGGGGCCACAGCGCCGCCAUCACAGCUCCGAGAAGAAGCGCGAUGCGUCGGCAGCGACAUCAGCGUCUCACAGCCGGUUGCACUCAUCUGCGCACCAUCGGCUAGCCGACCCGGCGGAGCGCGAGUUUGCCACGGUGGAGGUGGCCCGCCAGCCCAGUCGCCCGCACAGUCACCGCAGCCAUUCCCGCGCUUCUGCGUCGUCUCGGUCCCCGCAUCUCAACGGUACCGCUAUCGCCGCGCAUGAAGACAUCCAUGUGCGUCGCCACGGCACCCCGCGCAAUGCGCCCAGCACGCCCAGCGCCACUUCCAGCACUACCUCCGCGUCGGCGAUCCGCCGGUACGUCUCCCCCUGCAACGACACUAUCGACCGCAAGUCGAGCGUCAGCCCACGAAGCCCCGUGCCGCACACGAAGCUUGAGCAGGACGCCUUCCUGCGCAGCAUGCAGCCGCUGCAGCACAACCGCCUUCACUUCAUGCAGCACCUCCACAAGGAUAUAGCGCACCAUGUCUACUUGGCCGAGGAGGCGCAGUUAAAAGCCGCUACGGCGUCUGCCGAAACGAGCCUGUCGCGCCACAGUGCAAGCUCGGCCGCCGGAGGAGAGAUGCCGGAGGCGGGGGCGGCGCGCCUGCGUGAGAUUGAGGGUCGUUUGGUGAAGGUCGAGGCCCUCCAUCGUGAAGCGGAGCGUGAGCGCGAGGAGGCGGCGCGGCUGCGUCGCGAGUACGAGUUGAAGAACGAAGAAAUGAAUGCACGCAUCGGCGUCUCCCACGACGUGUCAGAGCUGAACUCGUCCUUGGUAAGCCCGCACCGUAGUAGUGUGCACCCGAUGAACGGUCAGCUGAUGGUGAUGCCGCAGCAGAACGGCGGGGGCAGCAGCUAUUUUUUGAUGGGUCACCAGGGAUGCGUCGUGUCACCAGAGUGGGCGCUGGCGGCCGAUCCGGCAGCGGCCCCCCGCCCCGACGACGUGGACCUCGGUGUCGCCAUCGUGGACCGCUACAUUUUUGGGGAGGAGUGGACCCGUGUCUACCCUGCCUACGAGGCGGAAGUCCGCUUCAACGCGCAGAUCGACGUCUGCCUCACGAUGAAGCUGCCACGCCGCCUCGUGGCCAUCACUAACAUUGUUGUUGACCGCCCCGGCCUGCGCGUGACAGCGGAGAUACGCUACGAUCGUGUCAAGAUCGAGCGUGACGGGGUGGAGCGGCGCAUGAACGGUUGCCCAUUCCGCUUCCUUCAGCGUUUCUACGACAUGCGCGACUUGUACGACCGCAUGCACGACGGCGCCGCCGCGGUCGCCGGCAGCGGGGGUGCGGCCAUAGUGAUGAAACCCAGUGCCGCAAAUGGUCGUCGCCUCUCUGCGGCCACUUCACGUCGGGCGUCUCGCACAGUCCCGGCGCCGCGCCGCCGCUCAAGCCAUGGCCCGCAAUACACCAACAGUGACGUGAGCGAGAUCGGGGAAAUCAUCGAAGACGACUACGACAUGGGCGGCCGCCGCGACGACUACGAUCGCGUCUGCGCUCCAGAGGACUUUAUGGUAAAGCGUCGCAGGCGCAUGGCCGCAGAGCUGCGCCGCCAGCUCGCAGACAGCAUGGCUCAGCUGGAGCAGGAGGAGGAUUACCUCCGUGACCGCAUCCAGCUCGCCGAGGCGAAGGACCGGCAGACGGUCGGCAGGGAGGUCCGCUUGAACGUGAAGGCGACGCUAAAGACUUCGUUGGCGAACCUGGAGGAGGAGGAGCGCGUGGAGCGGGCAGCGAUGGAGGUAAGUGCAGCGCGCCAGCUGCACGUGCUGAUGGGCAGCCACCGUCGGACGCUCGCGCUUUUCGGCUUACAAGCCAGCGAGGCCGAGCGGCGCAAGCAGAUCGGCGCGCAGGAGGCGCAGGCCCGACGUGACCUUAACGACGCCAUGAACCCAGCACUUGCGGCACAGCGAAAGCAGGCGGUGCGUCGGGCACGCGAGGGGGAGGCUCUUGCCCGCCGCGGCGCCCUGUACCCGAGCAAACGGGAGCUGGAGGCGGCCCUGGCAGACGUGGAGGCAGACGAGGUGGCGGCGCGUGCGAUUAUCCGCUCGCAAGCGAUGGAGGCGCUGCUAGACCUGCUCUCCCGCUCGCCGGCGCCGAAGUUCAAGGACGGUCGUCGUGCGCCGUUGUACGCAUCGUUCACGCUGAAUGCGCUCCUGAGCGACCUGCAAGCAGACGAGGCAGCGCAACGGCGUCAGAUCGCCGCCGAUGAGCGCCGCCGUCGCACGCUGUACCGGCAUGAGGACGUUGUCAAACGCGAGGCGGCGGAUCGUGUGGCCAUCGAAGGGGCGGAGAUCGACGACCGCGACGAAAUUGUGGAUGAUAUGAUGGCGCUGAACCGCCACCAGCUGGAGCGCCGGCUGAACGAUCGCGAGCAGCUGCUGAGUAUGAUCAACGAGGAGCAGUUCUAUCGCAAGACUGUUCUGUCGGACGAGCAGGACGCCUUCGAGGUCAUCGCGGAGCUCUUCACAGCGGGUCUGAAGGACUUGCUGGCCCGCACGCCGGAUGUCGGCGACGACGACGAUGAAGAUCUGCGCCGCCGCCGCGUGAGCACGACACGCCAGGCGAAGCCGUUCCACUACAUGACGUUCUCGCCGGAUGACAUGGACUACCCGCCGAGCGCCGUACUCGCCGUCGAGGGCAUCGUCGGCUGCUCAAUCAACAAGAACCUCGAGGUGGUUAGCGUGGCCCGGCCACUGCCGAAAGCAGAGAAGGAGGACCUGCAGCUGCAGGCGGGCGAUAUGAUUCUCGACGUGGCGGGCCACUCCCUUCACUCCCUGUCGCACCUGCGUGAGGUUUUGUCGAACCGCGCCCUGCAGAUCCAGGAGGAGACGUUUGCCGAGUUCCCAGACGUGCCGCAGGAUCAGCUCACCACCAGCCCGGCCUUGCAGAAGUACAUUGAGGUUCUCUGCGAGCACCACAACUUCCUGGUGCAGGUGCUCCGCGGAUGUGAGAUCUACCAGAUCAUUGUUCGCUCCUAGGCAGAUGAGAGCGUGUGCGGGAGGGGUCUACUGCCUUCCCUCCGUCACACUGGGCAACGCAGUGCUCGCGGUUCGAAUGAUGUGCACGCCCUGAUGGCACGUGCAACGCUUCGCCAGCCCCCGGCAAGCACUCGCCUGUGAGCGUAUCGGCAGCUCUGCGUCCGCAUGUGUGUAGUGAAACGUGUGGAGGCGUGCCUUCUCAUUUUUAUCUUACUUUUGGUUCCCCUCCCUUUUCGUUACUCACGCCCACAACCCCCUUCCCCUCCUCCCGUCCCCUAAAUUUCCUCUCCCACAAGCAGGUACACGCCAUGCAUACCCGCUGGAAAAGCAAUCCGCUGAUUUUCUAGACUUCCCCUCCCCUAAAUUUCCCUUCUAGAAGCGCCUUUACCGAUGAGGCACCUGUUGCUGCCGUGGCGCGCGCGUUCAUUUUUCUCUGUGUGUGCGGCUAUAUUGAACUGCGUCUCUUCUCUUUCUACUUGGGUGAGGAGCCAUCGCCGCCCUAACCCCCUCCUCUUACGCGCUUUUCGUUGCCUCCUCCUGUGUGCCACCCCCCCCUCGCCCUCCCCCAGUGGUAUUUGCGUGCGUGUCUGUGCAGUGCUCUCUUCCUGUUUGGCCUUCCACUCCUCAUGUCCUCGUGUCCUCCUCUUCCUCCUGGUGCUGCUGCGGCAGGCGGCACCGGCCUUCCGCUGCAGCACGACAGCAGAAAACGAAAAGCGGGGAAAGGGAAGGGAGGCGAGUAGAGGUGAGCGAACGCAAAAAAGAGAGCGCUGCUCAGAGGCUGACGGACGGACACACGCACACGCAGAGACAGAUAUACACCGCGAAUUCCAAGCGCGCGCGCACACACACACACAAGCACAGGCUUGUCGAAAAUGUACACAGGCAACGUCAUGGUCGAUAUAACGAGGCAGAAUAGAGCAUGUGGUUUCCUCUCGACAAGUAACUGAGCAGCAUGUCUCCUCCUUUCCGACACACCUUUUGGUUGGUGUUUGUUAGAUGUGCUUGAUGUUCAAGGGACGUUGACCUACCGAUCCCUACGUGCUCCACUUCGCGUGCAGCAGGGAUGACUGAACGCAGCCCGCUUGUACUUCUUCUCUCCCCCUCGCUUGUUGUUGUUAUCGUGCACUGGCUCUCUGCCACUGUGUGGUGCCCAUCAUCUCUCUCCUUCUUCCUCUCUUGCUCGUACCCGCGCACGGCGUGUGCGUCCUCUAUUUCAGCUGUGGGCUGGCGGGAUGCAGGGCGUACCGGUGCCGCACGCUGCUGUAGUGGUGCUAGAGAAGCACCGAACAUAGAGAGGGGGAGAGGGAGGAGUACACAGGUGCACACGUGUUCUCCGAUCUCGAUGUCAUCUGUCACCGUACACAUAGUUGCGUUCCAUCUCCCGCUGUUUUUGCGUCAUCUUUUUGUAUGUCGUUGGCGACGGGUAGGGCGACGGGAGGGGGGAGGGGGGACUGUGCCACCAUUCGCUCAUUUUGUUUUGUUUCCGGUGAUGCCCAGCGCUGUCUUCGUCAUGGCUGUGAUCUGCACCGUCACUCCACCGUGCUGGGGGACGGCAAAGCAGGAAAAAGAACCCCGCCCUCUCCGCCAUCGGAACGCGGACGAUCCUGUUGGAGGGGGGGGUGAUGGGUGGGUGGCGUGCGUGUGCCGCAUUUACCGCGGCGUGUUUUGUGCAUAGCUGAUGCUGCCGGUGCGGUUUGCUGUCUGUGUCUAUAUCUAUCUGUGUGUGUGUGUCUUCAUCGUAGAGUUGGUCGCACGUGGCGCUGAAAGCCAUCACCAAUCCCCACGUGCCCUAUUAGAGGACUAGCAACGGCGGUACCUACUCAGAAAC